UUGGAGGGCAAGUCUGGUGCCAGCAGCCGCGGUAAUUCCAGCUCCAAUAGCGUAUAUUAAAGUUGUUGCAGUUAAAAAGCUCGUAGUUGAAUUUCGGGGUUAGUAGGUUGGUCAUGCCUCUGGUAUGUACUGGUCUCACUGAUUCCUCCUUCCUUAUGAACCGUAAUGCCAUUAAUUUGGUGUUGCGGGGAAUUUGGACUGUUACUUUGAAAAAAUUAGAGUGUUUAAAGCAAGCUAACGCUUGAAUACAUUAGCAUGGAAUAAUGAAAUAGGACG
rnacentral:rRNA from 1 species